GGAUUGUUCAUGAGAUUUGGUAUCGGUUGGCUCGAUAAUUGAUCUGGUCACUCCUCAUGGUGGACUCAACUAACUAUCCUAUUUGUGCUUCUAGUCUAACAAUGGAUUGCUAUUAGAUCAUAAUCAUUUAUUGAAGUUGGUUAAAUCUAUCGUCGGCUAGAGAAGUCUGUUGAGGAUGUGGUAUGAAGGCUGAUUAUAAUAGGAUGGCUGAAUAGGCCGACUAGGCUGACCUCUAUUA
rnacentral:lncRNA from 1 species